rnacentral:rRNA from 1 species
CGGAGCCGCAGCGAAAGCGAGUCUGAAUAGGGCGUUUGAGUAUGUAGGCGUAGACCCGAAACCAUGUGAGCUACCCAUGUCCAGGUUGAAGGUGCGGUAAAACGCACGGGAGGACCGAACCCACGUACGGUGAAAAGUGCGGGGAUGACGUGUGGGUAGCGGAGAAAUUCCAAACGAACUUGGAGAUAGCUGGUGCUCUCCGAAAUAGCUUUAGGGCUAGCCUCGGAAUGGAGAAUGAUGGAGGUAGAGCACUGUUUGGACU